CACGUAGGGCGCAAGCGUUGUCCGGAAUUAUUGGGCGUAAAGAGCGUGUAGGCGGCCAGGUAGGUCUGCUGUGAAAACUCGAGGCUCAACCUCGAGACGUCGGCGGAAACCAUCUGGCUAGAGUCCGGAAGAGGAGAGUGGAAUUCCUGGUGUAGCGGUGAAAUGCGCAGAUAUCAGGAGGAACACCAGUAGCGAAGGCGGCACUCUGGGCCGGUACUGACGCUGAGGAGCGAAAGCGUGGGGAGCGAACAGG
rnacentral:rRNA from 1 species